UUUAAUUGAUAAAGGUUUUUUUUAUUUAAGAAAAUCUGAGCAUCACUCAAAAUAACUGUCAACAUGUUUGUCAACUAAACAUGUUUUGUAAACGUUAUACAUUUUAUAAAAAUAUUUAAUAUUUUUAUUAUUGAUAAAGUAUAAAGAACAAAUCAGUGUGAAAACGCAGAUUAUAAAAAGUACAUAAAGUGCCAGCAGAGGAUCCAAAAUAAUGAAAAAAAAAAAAACAUCCAAUGCAACUUGGAAAUUGUAGUCAAAAUACAUCUACAGCAGCAUGCUAAAGCAGUACCAACGCCAGGGCAAAAGACUCAAAUUCCCAGAAUGCACCUGCACCCACCCAUUCAUUCCCACCAAUCAGGAUCAACGGCAUUUUUCAAACCGCUACUGACUCGUUUUCAUGCUAAACAGUACGGCUGAGAGGUCAUGUACCAUGUGGUCGACCUUGCUGACGCUGAAGAGGUUUCUGUGUAAAAAUGAUGACAUUGAGACAAACAGACCAGUUCUGGCUGCCGUGGAGGUCAACACACCACUGAUCUACUGGCUGCCCUUCAACGUGAUGCCCAGCCGAUGCCUGACCACCGACGGAACUAGGGCUGCACGAUAAGUCGCAUGUGUUUGUCAGGCGCAUCUCCUCAGUAAUGCCGGUUCCUUGAUUAGUAUUAAAUCGCCAUCAGCU